GUGCACUGUGCCUGUCUAUGGGAGGAAAAGAUGAAACUGAUCCCUGAGAAUGGUAAUCAGCCAAAUUCGUGUUUUGGAGGGAAAAAGGAAGCUCUUGCUGAUAAGAAAAUGUCUCUUUGAUUCUAAUCCCUUUCACCUGUUGAACAAUUAUUGAUGACUUUCAUUACGGGGCUUUGUUGGCGGUGCUAUGAAAGGAGAAUAAUCAGUGCUGCAUUAAGGUACAUGUAAAAAGCCUGUCUCUAUUUGCAUGGUAAUGAAGUACUACCUAAGGUGUUAGAAGGAGAAUCAAUAGGCUAAUGAGAUUUUAUGCAAACAAUCUCAAGUAACAACCUGGGCUCACCCUUAGAUAAAAGGAUUUGUUUGAAAUAGGAAAAUACUUAUAAGCCUUGAGGAUGAAGGGUGUAGAAGUCCACAGCUGAAGGCAAACCAUCCUGUCUGGAAUAAAAAAUAAAAUACUAAAUAUUACUGCCUACAGCUCCUCAGGCUGAACAAUUCCAGUUGUCGCAGCCUUUCCUCACAGGAGAGGUGUUCCAUCCCUCAGCUCAUCUUUUGCUAAAGAGCAGCUCCCUAAGAUGUGGCCAAAGCAGCAUUUCAUGGCAGAGCACUUGUGAAAUGCCCCACAGCAAGAUGAGUCUACUUUGAAUUUCCUUGGGAUGCUGCCAAGAUGAUCUUCAAGAGGGAACAAGUGACAGGAGUGCUCCUUGAGGGGAGUGGUGCUUCAUUCCACUGGGAAACUGCAGGCUGUGUUUGGGAGAGAGGUUUGAACAACCCUAGCAGCUUUUGGGUAAUAGCUGUGGGUUGUGUUUUUUUUU